rnacentral:rRNA from 1 species
CAUGCCUGUUUGAGUGUCGUUGAAUUCUCAAAACCCUCCUCACAGGUGGGUUUGGAUUGGUGGAGGAUGCAUUGGACUUGGACUUUUUGACUCCCUUUGCUUUGCUUCUCUGAAAUGGAUCGGCCUUACGGCUGCGAUUCACGAACCUAGUCGUCGGUAUGAUAAUGUCUUACCUGCUUCUAACCCGUGCCAGCCCGGCCCAGACGAGACGAUCGUCUCUAUCUAUCUACAAUUUGACCUCAAAUCAGGCAGGACUACCCGCUGAACUUAAGCAUAUCAAUAAGGGGAGGAAAAGAAACUAACAAGGAUUCCCCUAGUAACUGCGAGUGAAGCGGGAAGAGCUCAAAUUUAAAAUCUGGCGGCCGCUUGGCCGUCCGAGUUGUAAGCUAGAGAAGUGCCAUCCGCGCUGGGGCCAUGUACAAGUCUCCUGGAACGGAGCGUCAUAGAGGGUGAGAAUCCCGUCUCUGACAUGGACCUCCCGGGGCAUCACGAUGGCGCUCUCAAGGAGUCGAGUUGUUUGGGAAUGCACCUCCAAAUGGGUGGUAAAUUCCAUCUAAAGCUAAACAUUGGCGAGAGACCGAUAGCGAACAAGUACCGUGAGGGAAAGAUGAAAAGAACUUUGGAAAGAGAGUUAAACAGUACGUGAAAUUGUUGAAAGGGAAACGCUUUGAAGUCAGUCGCGUCGGGCUUUGGGACUCAGCCUUGCAA